rnacentral:rRNA from 1 species
GACGUAGGGUCCAAGCGUUGUCCGGAUUUACUGGGCGUAAAGAGCGCGUAGGCGGUCUGUUAAGUGAGAAGUGAAAUCUCCAGGGCUCAACCCGGAAACUGCUUUUCAUACUGGCAGACUUGAGGGAUGCGGAGGUGAAUGGAAUUCCUGGUGUAGCGGUGAAAUGCGUUGAUAUCAGGAGGAACACCCAUGGCGAAGGCAGUUCACUGGGCAUCAUCUGACGCUGAGGCGCGAAAGCGUGGGUAGCAAACAGG